UGAGGUAAUUCAUGAGAAUAAUGGAAAUAGC
rnacentral:piRNA from 1 species